AUGUCCAUAUCAUGUUAAAACACCAGUUCUUGUACAGUCACCAGUUAAGCAAUGUUGAGCCUGGUCAGUACCUAGAUGGGUGACUGCUUGGGAAUACUAGGUGUUGUAAG